rnacentral:rRNA from 1 species
UGGGGAAUAUUGCACAAUGGGCGAAAGCCUGAUGCAGCAACGCCGCGUGAGUGAUGAAGGUCUUCGGAUUGUAAAGCUCUGUCUUUUGGGACGAUAAUGACGGUACCAAAGGAGGAAGCCACGGCUAACUACGUGCCAGCAGCCGCGGUAAUACGUAGGUGGCGAGCGUUGUCCGGAUUUACUGGGCGUAAAGGGUGCGUAGGCGGAUGUUUAAGUGAGAUGUGAAAUACCCGGGCUUAACUUGGGUGCUGCAUUUCAAACUGGAUAUCUAGAGUGCAGGAGAGGAGAAUGGAAUUCCUAGUGUAGCGGUGAAAUGCGUAGAGAUUAGGAAGAACACCAGUGGCGAAGGCGAUUCUCUGGACUGUAACUGACGCUGAGGCACGAAAAGCGUGGGUAGCAAACAGGAUUAGAUACCCUGGUAGUCCGCGCCGUAAAACGAUGAGUACUAGGUGUAGGAGGUAUCGACCCCUUCUGUGCCGCAGUAAAACACAUUAAAGUACUCCGCCUGGGAAGUACGAUCGCAAGAUUAAAAAC